GAUGAAGAACGCAGCGAAAUGCGAUAAGUAGUGUGAAUUGUAGAAUUCAGUGAAUCAUCGAAUCUUUGAACGCACAUUGCGCCCUUUGGUAUUCCAAAGGGCAUGCCUGUUCGAGCGUCAUUUGUACCCUCAAGCUUUGCUUGGUGUUGGGCGUCUUGUCUCUAGCUUUGCUGGAGACUCGCCUUAAAGUAAUUGGCAGCCGGCCUACUGGUUUCGGAGCGCAGCACAAGUCGCACUCUCUAUCAGCAAAGGUCUAGCAUCCAUUAAGCCUUUUUUUCAACUUUUGACCUCGGAUCAGGUAGGGAUACCCGCUGAACUUAAGCAUAUCAAUAAGCGGAGGA
rnacentral:misc_RNA from 1 species